CCCUUAGAUGUCCUGGGCCGCACGCGCGUUACACUGAUGCAUUCAACGAGCUUAUAACCUUGGCCGAGAGGCCUGGGCAAUCUUGUUAACGUGCAUCGUGAUAGGGAUAGAUUAUUGAAAUUAUUAAUCUUUAACGAGGAAUUCCUAGUAAACGCAGAUCAUCAAUCUGCAUUGAUUACGUCCCUGCCCUUUGUACACACCGCCCGUCGCACCUACCGAUUGGAUGGUCCGGUGAAGCCUCGGGAUUGUGGUUCUUGCCGCUUUAUUGUGGCGUGACCGCGAGAACUUGUCUAAACCUUAUCAUCUAGAGGAAGGUGAAGUCGUAACA
rnacentral:rRNA from 1 species